GGGGCCUCCUGGACCAAGUCUACCUGGAACACCAGGUCCCACUGGUGUUCCUGGAAACCCCGGUCCACGGGGACCAAAGGGAGAAAGAGGACUACCUGGUGUACAGGGAGCACCUGGGGAGAUGGGGCCCCCUGGAAUAGGCAUUCAGGGAUCACCAGGUCCUAUAGGUCCAACUGGAUCAGCAGGUGUGCAGGGCCCUAGGGGACCUCCAGGGUUACCAGG